ACACUCCUACGGGAGGCAGCAGUGGGGAAUUUUGGACAAUGGGCGAAAGCCUGAUCCAGCAAUGCCGCGUGCAGGAUGAAGGCCUUCGGGUUGUAAACUGCUUUUGUACGGAACGAAAAAGCUCCUUCUAAUACAGGGGGCCCAUGACGGUACCGUAAGAAUAAGCACCGGCUAACUACGUGCCAGCAGCCGCGGUAAUACGUAGGGUGCGAGCGUUAAUCGGAAUUACUGGGCGUAAAGCGUGCGCAGGCGGUUAUGUAAGACAGAUGUGAAAUCCCCGGGCUCAACCUGGGAACUGCAUUUGUGACUGCAUGGCUAGAGUACGGUAGAGGGGGAUGGAAUUCCGCGUGUAGCAGUGAAAUGCGUAGAUAUGCGGAGGAACACCGAUGGCGAAGGCAAUCCCCUGGACCUGUACUGACGCUCAUGCACGAAAGCGUGGGGAGCAAACAGGAUUAGAUACCCCGGUAGUCCCAUG
rnacentral:rRNA from 1 species